AGCAGCCGCGGUAAUUCCAGCUCCAAUAGCGUAUAUUAAAGUUGCUGCAGUUAAAAAGCUCGUAGUUGAAUUUCGGGACCAUCAUGUCGGUCGUGCCUCGGUACGUACUAGCAUUAUUGGUUUCUCCCUUCUGACGAACCACGAUGUCAUUAAUUUGGUGUCAUGGGAAGUCAGGACUGUUACUUUGAAAAAAUUAGAGUGUUUAAAGCAAGCUCGCGCUUGAAUACAUUAGCAUGGAAUAAUGAAAUAGGACGUUUGAUUCUAUUUUGUUGGUUUCUAGGAUCGACGUAAUGAUUAAUAGGGAUAGUUGGGGGCAUUAGUAUUCAAUUGUCAGAGGUGAAAUUCUUGGAUUUAUUGAAGACUAACUACUGCGAAAGCAUUUGCCAAGGAUGUUUUCAUUAAUCAAGAACGAAAGUUAGGGGAUCGAAGACGAUCAGAUACCGUCGUAGUCUUAACCAUAAACUAUGCCGACUAGGGAUCGGAUGAUGUUAAUUUUUAAUGACUCAUU
rnacentral:rRNA from 1 species